GGGAGUACGGUCGCAAGAUUAAAACUCAAAGGAAUUGGACGGGGGCCCGCACAAGCGGUGGAGCAUGUGGUUUAAUUCGACGCAACGCGCAGAACCUUACCAGCCCUUGACAUCCCGGUCGCGGACUCCAGAGACGGAGUUCUUCAGUUCGGCUGGACCGGAGACAGGUGCUGCAUGGCUGUCGUCAGCUCGUGUCGUGAGAUGUUGGGUUAAGUCCCGCAACGAGCGCAACCCCCGUCCUUAGUUGCUACCAUUUAGUUGAGCACUCUAAGGAGACUGCCGGUGAUAAGCCGCGAGGAAGGUGGGGAUGACGUCAAGUCCUCAUGGCCCUUACGGGCUGGGCUACACACGUGCUACAAUGGCGGUGACAAUGGGAUGCUAAGGGGCGACCCUUCGCAAAUCUCAAAAAGCCGUCUCAGUUCGGAUUGGGCUCUGCAACUCGAGCCCAUGAAGUUGGAAUCGCUAGUAAUCGUGGAUCAGCA
rnacentral:rRNA from 1 species